GCGGUCGUAGCUCAGCUGGAUAGAGCGUCAGUCUACGGAACUGAAUGUCGGAGGUUCGAAUCCUCCCGACCGCGCCA
rnacentral:tRNA from 1 species